UACGAAGGGGGCUAGCGUUGCUCGGAAUCACUGGGCGUAAAGCGCACGUAGGCGGACUCUUAAGUCGGUGGUGAAAUCCUGGAGCUCAACUCCAGAACUGCCUUCGAUACUGAGAGUCUUGAGUCCGGGAGAGGUGAGUGGAACUGCGAGUGUAGAGGUGAAAUUCGUAGAUAUUCGCAAGAACACCGGUGGCGAAGGCGGCUCACUGGCCCGGUACUGACGCUGAGGUGCGAAAGCCAGGGGAGCAAACGGG
rnacentral:rRNA from 1 species